UACGGGGGGGGCAAGCGUUGUUCGGAAUCACUGGGCGUAAAGCGCACGUAGGCGGCUUUUUAAGUCAGGGGUGAAAUCCUGGAGCUCAACUCCAGAACUGCCUUUGAUACUGAGAAGCUUGAGUCCGGGAGAGGUGAGUGGAACUGCGAGUGUAGAGGUGAAAUUCGUAGAUAUUCGGAAGAACACCAGUGGCGAAGGCGACUCGCUGGACAGACAUUGACGCUGAGGUGCGAAAGCGUGGGGAGCAAACAGG
rnacentral:rRNA from 1 species